AACGAACGCUGGCGGCAGGCCUAACACAUGCAAGUCGAGCGCGCCCUUCGGGGUUAGCGGCGGACGGGUGAGUAACGCGUGGGAACGUGCCCUUUUCUACGGAAUAGCCUCGGGAAACUGAGCGUAAUACCGUAUACGCCCUUUGGGGGAAAGAUUUAUCGGAAAAGGAUCGGCCCGCGUUGGAUUAGGUAGUUGGUAGGGUAAUGGCCUACCAAGCCGACGAUCCAUAGCUGGUUUGAGAGGAUGAUCAGCCACACUGGGACUGAGACACGGCCCAGACUCCUACGGGAGGCAGCAGUGGGGAAUCUUAGACAAUGGGGGCAACCCUGAUCUAGCCAUGCCGCGUGAGUGAUGAAGGCCUUAGGGUUGUAAAGCUCUUUCAGCUGGGAAGAUAAUGACGGUACCAGCAGAAGAAGCUCCGGCUAACUCCGUG
rnacentral:rRNA from 1 species